rnacentral:lncRNA from 1 species
UGGGUAGUUCUAGCCAUUGCUGGUGGCAUUUCUGCAUUGCUCCCAGUUCUGAGUCUGGUUUGGCUUUUCUGUAGGAGGAGAAAGUACAGAAGGAUGAGGGAAGAUGGGACCAUGCCUGUCAACGUAGACGUGGAAAUGAUGACAGCACCUAGGAAGUUUUCCUACAGGGAACUCAGGCUUGCAACCAAUAAUUUUGCCGAUGAAGGUCUCCUUGGAGAGGGAGGUUUUGGAAAAGUUUAUUUAGGCUUCUUGAGGGACAUCAAUUCCAAUAUUGCUGUCAAAAGGAUAACUCCAAAUUCUCAACAAGGGGUGAAAGAGUACGAAUCCGAAAUUACCACUAUUAUCAAAUUGAGGCACAGGAAUUUGGUCCAACUCAUCGGUUGGUGCCAUGACAAUAAGGAGUUCCUCAUUGUGUAUGAGUUCCUUCCAAAUAGGAGUCUCGAUUACCAUCUACAUAGAGAGCCAUGCUUGUUGACAUGGGAUACAAGGUAUAAAAUCGCCAUGGGAGUGGCCUCAGGGUUGUUUUAUCUGCAAGAAGAAUGUGAUCGAUGCGUGCUGCAUCGAGACAUCAAGUCAAGUAAUGUUCUGCUAGAUUUUAGUUUCAAUGCCAAGCUUGGUGACUUUGGGCUGGCUAGGCUUGUUGACCACGGACAAGGGUCUCAAACAACAAAAUUGAUCCUUGGAACUGAUGGUUAUAUAGCACCCGAGUGUCUUGAGACAUACAAAGCCAUUAAGGAAUCCGACAUAUACAGCUUUGGUAUUGUUGCCUUAGAAAUAGCCUCCGGAAAGAAGGCCGUAGAUGUAAUUGAAAGGAAUGGCAAGAGAUUCAAGACAAAACUGGUGGAAUGGGUUUGGGAAUUGUAUAGGGAAGGGCGUCUUUUGGAUGCUGCUGACCCAAGAUUGUCUGGAAACUACGACACGGAACGAAUGGAACGGUUGCUUUUAGUUGGGAUGGCUUGUGCUCACCCAAACUAUUUUGACCGUCCAUCCAUAACGAAUACUAUUGAAAUCCUUGGUUCCAAGGCCCCACUGCCCAGUUUACCACGCGAGAUGCCGGUUCCAAUAUACAUUGCAGCUCUGCAAGACAACAUCUUUACAUCUUCAGCAUCCACUUCAUCUUAUACCAGUGCCUCCAACAGAAGCCAAACUCAAAGUUCAGGCACUGGGUCAAGUAUCCAUUCCUUUAAGGAUAAAACAAUGGCUCCAGGUUAUGACACGGAAGCCAAGCAUUGAAUUCUUGGCAGUUGGUAGUUCGAACCUUCUUUUGUUGUAUAUUUGGCUUCUUGUUUUCGAGUUUUGAUGCUUUGGUGAAAAUUUUGUUCUCACCUUAAUAUUAGUAGGUCAUAUCAUGUCUAUCUAUCUAUCUAUAUAUAUAUAUAUAUAUAUAUAUAUGAUAUUUAUGCUCAUGAUUGAGUUGAUACAUCAAUUUAAUUAGAUAAAAGACAAAUUAAAUAUAUUCAUAAAAAAAUUAUAUAUUAAUAAGGUUAUAAAAAUAAAUUAAUUUAAAAGGAAAAAAAACCACCAACAAAUAUUCUAUAUGAAUAUUUAUUUUUAUUUUAUAGGGUGCGAUAUAAAAGAAUUAUCACUAAGGUAGUGAGUGUGUGAAGAAAUCUAGUAUUAAACUAUAUGGAUUGAUACAUGAAUAUAAUAAUUAAAAUUUUAACCCCUGCAAAAUUUCAAACAUAACCAACCCAAUGCCAGUAUUUCAACCAAAGCAUUUAUAUACUUAAAUCUUGCUUGACAUACUGACAUAACAACUUAAUUAAUAAAAAUCCUAUUAUCAUUUCUAAUUAACACAUAAAACUAAUCAAGCCAUUUCAAUUUGAUACCAAUGCCAUAAAGGACUUCUACCAUUUUACUAACAUAAUCAUCAAAACACAUAAUAUCUUACUUUACAACAAAACUAUAUAGCAUACCAAAAUAACUAUUAUAAUUCUUAUGUACAUGCCACUUUCUCUUAAAAGAAGAAAACAUACCAAAAUAUUUAUGUCGGAGUUGGGAUUGUCCUGGAUACUGAACCGAGACUCUGACCCUUUUCAACCUGCGCACGGAAACAACCGUACGCUGAGUAUUUUAUACUCAGUGGUAUUACCAUAAUUCAAAUUAUAAUAGCAAUAAAGAAUUAUAAUUACCAAGCAUGUAACUAUACAAUUUCUUAAAUAUCAAUUAAUUUAUAAACUUUCAUUAACUAACAAUAACAAUACAAUUUUUAGCUAUUCUUCAAUUUCAAUCAUAUAUCACAUGUAAUAAUUUCAAUCGCUACAUAAACAUUAAAUUCAUGUCUUUCAUUUUCAAUCUCAAAUUUCAAUCCACAAUUUUAAAUUUUCUUAUUUCAAUUAUUCACAAUCGAUCAAAUUCAUUUAAAUUUCUCAUUUUAAUUAUUCACCCUAUUAACAAUCUGGACUUUGACGGAUACACGGAUUCCAACCCAAACACACCAGUACGACACAUUGUGCCUAAAACGGUACAUAGUACCUGAUCAGUAUACGACACAUAAGUGCCUGAAACGACCACGAGGUGCCUGAUACGACACACGAGGUGCCUGAUAUACGACACAUAAAGUGCCUGAGAUACGACACAUAAAGUGCCUGAUCGGCAAGGCCGAUAAAUCCCGUACUCAUCCAAAUCCUAUGGCAUGCCAACUAUAUCCGACCUAGCCUGACUAGUUAAUAGGGUAUAUAAAUUUCACAAUCUAAUUUUCACUUUUAUUUCAAGAAUUCAUUUUCAAUAUCAAUUAUACUUUUUUUUUCCAUUCACUAAUUAAAACACAGUUCAAUACCAACACAUACUUCUCUCAUUCAAUUUAACUUUUUUUUUUCAAAUUCAAUUCAAUAAAGUCACUUACCUUAUUAUAUGCUUACCAUACACAUAAUUUAAAUUUAACAUCAAAUAAUAAAUAAUUUGAAUUAUAGUAAUACAAACCCGAAUUUUGCUCGAUUAUUCCUCAAUAACCUUCUCCUUUCCUUUGUGUGCCGAUGCCUCGAGUUCUUUGUUAGCUACGAAAAUAAUAAUAAUUUAUACCAUCGAUUACAACAUUAAUUUAUAAUAAUAAUAAUAAUAAUAGAAUUUCUAUCUAAUUUAUACUUUAAUUCCAAUUUAAUCCUAACUAAAUUUAUUUACUUUUCUAAUUUAAUUUACACUCUAUUUCUAUUCAAAUUUCUUCAAAACUCAAAUUUAACUACCAAAUUUUCAGCAUAUUUCAUUAAUUUCAAAUUUUCCUCAAUUUAAUUCCUACAAACAUAAAACUUAUGACUUACUUCACAAUUUAAUCCUUUUAUCAACUCUAACUAGAAAUUCUAUCAAAUAAAACCUCAAUUUCAUCAUUUAUUCAACAUAAACCCUACUCAAAAAUCUAUUAACUUUCAAAUUUUCAACUUAAAUCCAAGAGUAUUUCACUCUAGGGUUCUAAAAAACAUCAAAUUUAUGAGAAAAGGACUUGAUUUAGCUUACCUAUUAAACUUCAAGCUUCAAAAUCUCAAUUUUCCCCCUUUCUUUUCUUUCCCUUUUUCUUCCCCUGUUUUCGUCUCUUUCUCUGUUUCUUUUCUGUUCUUCCUUUGUUUCUUUUUUCUUUUUGUCUUACUUACCGACUCUAUUUCUUUUAUGCAUUAGUUAAUAAUAAUAAUAAUAAUAAUAAUAAUAAUAUAUUAUAAUAAUCAUAUAAUAAUAUUUUAUUCACAAAUAUCUUUUACUUAAACUAUAAGAAAAUAUUUUAUUUUAUUACAAGUUAUUUUUAUAUAUAUUACACAUGUAUUAUUUAUCAUCACACAUUUGUCUUUAUCUUUUUUGUUUCCUAUAAUAUAUUAUUUUAAUUUUAAUUAAUAUAAUUUAUAAUAUUUUAAUUUAAUAAUAUUUUUAUAAUAUAAAUCAAGAAAAAAUCUAAGAUUUUUCCAUGUAUUGCCGCCUAAUCUUAAGCCAUUGGCUUAUUUACCUAUUUAGUCCUUCUUAUUUUAUUUUGAUCUAUAAUUAAACUUUCACUUCUAUUAUAAUUUAAUUCUUUUUACUAAUUACUCUUAAUUAAGCUAAAUUCACCUAUCUAAAACCUAAUUAAACACACAACUAGUUUAAUAAAUAUUUCUAAUAAUUAUUUUCGAACUCAAUUUACUAAGACGGAGGCCCGAUAUUAUACUUUUCCGAUGCCUGUAAAUUUUUGGGUCAUUACAGGUAAUUAACGAAAUCACUUCAAUGAAUGCACCAAUCCCCUUUCUUCUUUUUCUGAGAGUGUGUUCAAUGUUAAACUUGAUAAUACCAAUGAAGACAUUGGUUGGAUUCCUUACCUAACACGUCCAUUCACUUGUAAAAGUAAAAGUCUUGGUUAGUAUUUUGUUCUUUUCAUUGGAUAUGAAGAUUACUAUUUUGUUCUUGUUCUUAUGGUUUUCCAAGUGUAAAGUAAGGAUUGUUUUGGUUCUUAAUAAAAGUUGAAUUUUCUUAACAAAAUGAACAAAUAUAUAAAAUAUUAUCAAAAAAAGUCAUUUCGAGAAGUUCUUAAGAGAACCAUUGACUUGUAAUUAAUCCAAAGAUUCCAAGUCUUGCAUUGAUGGCUGGAUUAAAAUAAAUUCCACCCAAAAAAAUAAGCAACAAGGCCAAAUUAGUUUAUAACUUGUAAUUGGGGGUAGGUUGGCACCUUCUUUUAUUGAAUAAAUAUCAAAAUUGUAUUUGAAAUUUAAUUUAAUGAAUAAUAUCAUAUAUAUAAAUUUUAAUUUUAUGUUAUUAUAUAUGAAUCUUUUAUUUGAUUCAAUUUUCACAAAUUAUUAACAAUAUUAUCGAAUUAGUAUAAUUUACGUUGUUAUAUUAUAUACAUAGUAUGAGAAUAAAUGCAUGUAAUUUAAACAUGUACAACUGAAUCAAAAUUAAAAUUUUAUAUAUAAUUACAUCAGUUUAAAUUUUAUCAUCAAAUUUCAUAUAUAAAUUGAUAAAUAUUUUUUAAAAUAAUAUAAAUUUUUUUAAAUUUCAUAUAUAAGUUUUUUUUUUUUUGUCCAAGUUCCCACCACAAGUAGGAGAUUCAAUACGAUGCUUUGAAGGUCCAAUGUAGGGCAAGAAUGGCAAACUUUAUUUUAGUGAGGAAUGAAUUAUUUUAUUCCAGGAAAUGAAUUACAUUGUGUUGCAGCAACUUUCCUCAAAAUCCUUACUCCGAAAAUGAAGAAAGCUCAAAAAGCUGAGAAUAUGUAUCUCAAAUCACGUAAACCUGAAUUUCUCUUCAUACUAUUAUUCUUAUACACCCUUCCUAUGGGGUUACUUGUUCCUUUUACCAUGGCUGCAGCAAUUGAUGAUGGUAACAUCCAUUUCAAUUUGACUGAUUUCACCCCAGAUAUGCCUCACAUAGAGUUUGAAAAUGAUACAACCGCAUCAGGUGGCCAAAUCCAACUCACCACCAACCAGAUAAACAAGAAUUUAAACGAUAGUGUUGGUCGAGCCACUUAUUACCAACCAAUGCACCUUUGGGACAAUUCAUCAGGGAAUCCCAGACUUGCAGAUUUCACCACUCAUUUUUCUUUCUCCAUCAAUUCCUUGAAGAAGCCCUCCGGAGAUAGGGGUGAUGGGUUUGCGUUUUUCCUUGCUCCCGAUGGCUCAAAAAUCCCUCCUUACUCCGGAGGUGGUUGCUUGGGACUUCAAAGUUGCGAUAUAGACGCCAACUCUAAAUUUGUUGCAGUGGAAUUUGAUACGUUUCCCAAUGUAUGGGAUGAUCUGAGGUCAGAUCACGUGGCCAUUGAUCUCAACUCUGUAAAAGCUUCAUUCCACCCUGUCGAAUGGCUGUGGAGUGAUAUUGAAAAUGGGAGUAAAGUUGAUGCUUUCAUCACUUACAACUCUAGUACAAAAAACCUGAGUGUCUUUUUACUCGGUGCUGAGGACUUUAAUCGUCUAAAUUCAUCUGCUCUUUCUGCAAUAUUGGAUCUUAGUCAAUAUUUACCAGAAUGGGUCACUUUUGGCUUCUCCGGAGCCACUGGAUCUAGCAUUGAGCUACACACUAUUUAUUCCUGGAGUUUCAGCUCCAACUUACAAGUUUCCACGAAUAAAACCAUCAAUCCUCCAAAUGUGGCGCCAGGCCCUCCAAUCAACCCCAAAAGGAAGAGCAAGACAUGGCUAUGGGUAGUUCUAGCCAUUGCUGGUGGCAUUUCUGCAUUGCUCCCAGUUCUGAGUCUGGUUUGGCUUUUCUGUAGGAGGAGAAAGUACAGAAGGAUGAGGGAAGAUGGGACCAUGUCUGUCAACGUAGACGUGGAAAUGAUGACAGCACCUAGGAAGUUUUCCUACAGGGAACUCAGGCUUGCAACCAAUAAUUUUGCCGAUGAAGGUCUCCUUGGAGAGGGAGGUUUUGGAAAAGUUUAUUUAGGCUUCUUGAGGGACAUCAAUUCCAAUAUUGCUGUCAAAAGGAUAACUCCAAAUUCUCAACAAGGGGUGAAAGAGUACGAAUCCGAAAUUACCACUAUUAUCAAAUUGAGGCACAGGAAUUUGGUCCAACUCAUCGGUUGGUGCCAUGACAAUAAGGAGUUCCUCAUUGUGUAUGAGUUCCUUCCAAAUAGGAGUCUCGAUUACCAUCUACAUAGAGAGCCAUGCUUGUUGACAUGGGAUACAAGGUAUAAAAUCGCCAUGGGAGUGGCCUCAGGGUUGUUUUAUCUGCAAGAAGAAUGUGAUCGAUGCGUGCUGCAUCGAGACAUCAAGUCAAGUAAUGUUCUGCUAGAUUUUAGUUUCAAUGCCAAGCUUGGUGACUUUGGGCUGGCUAGGCUUGUUGACCACGGACAAGGGUCUCAAACAACAAAAUUGAUCCUUGGAACUGAUGGUUAUAUAGCACCCGAGUGUCUUGAGACAUACAAAGCCAUUAAGGAAUCCGACAUAUACAGCUUUGGUAUUGUUGCCUUAGAAAUAGCCUCCGGAAAGAAGGCCGUAGAUGUAAUUGAAAGGAAUGGCAAGAGAUUCAAGACAAAACUGGUGGAAUGGGUUUGGGAAUUGUAUAGGGAAGAGCGUCUUUUGGACGCUGCUGACCCAAGAUUGUCUGGAAACUACGACACGGAACGAAUGGAACGGUUGCUGUUAGUUGGGAUGGCUUGUGCUCACCCAAACUAUUUUGACCGUCCAUCCAUAACGAAUGCUAUGGAAAUCCUUGGUUCCAAGGCCCCACUGCCCAGUUUACCACGCGAGAUGCCGGUUCCAAUAUACAUUGCAGCUCUGCAAGACAACAUCUUUACAUCUUCAGCAUCCACUUCAUCCUAUACCAGUGCCUCCAACAGAAGCCAAACUCAAAGUUCAGGCACUGGGUCAAGUAUCCAUUCCUUUAAGGAUAAAACAAUGGCUCCAGGUUAUGACACGGAAGCCAAGCAGUGAAUUCUUGGCAGUUGGUAGUUCGAACCUUCUUUUGUUGUAUAUUUGGCUUCUUGUUUUCUAGUUUUGAUGCUUUGGUGAAAAUUUUGUUCUCACCUUAAUAUUAGUAGGUCAUAUCAUGUCUGUCUAUAUAUAUAUAUAUAUAUAUAUGAUAUUUAUGCUCACGAUUGAGUUGAUACAUCAAUUUAAUCAAGUAAAAGACAAAUUAAAUAUAUUCAUAAAAAAUUAUAUAUUAAUAAGGUUAUAAAAAUAAAUUAAUUUAAAAGGAAAAAAAACCACCAACAAAUAUUCUAUAUGAAUAUUUAUUUUUAUUUUAUAGGGUGAGAUAUAAAAGAAUUAUCACUAAGGUAGUGAGUGUGUGAAGAAAUCUAGUAUUAAACUAUAUGGAUUGAUACAUGAAUAUAAUAAUUAAAAUUUUAACAAUUUUAAUUGUAUUUUAGAUAUUUUUAUUUCGGAUAAUCUCUUAAUAGGUUCUAAUGGAAUUAAUAGAUAUAGAAGUGCAUGUUUGAGUGGCGUUUAUUGACUCGAGUUAGUGAUCCUAACUUUUGGUCCAACCUUUGUUAUUUGCGUCUCUUGCUUUAUUGUUAAUCUUACAAAGCUUUCUGAUUAAUUUUAGUUUUAUACAUUAUGAAUUGGUUCAAUUUAAUUCCUUUAAUUUGAAGUUUUAAAAUUGUAAUCUUGGUAUUUGUAUUUUAAUUUGGUUAAUUUUAAUUCUUAUACUUUUCGAAUUGGUUAAAUUUAAUUCUUGUAAUUGGAAGUUUUAAAAUUGUAGUCUUAAUAUUUUAAUUUAGUCAAUUUUAGUUUUUAUACUUUUUGAAUUAGUUAAAUUUAAACCUAAACAAUAGCAAUUAAAUCUAUUUUGUUAAAUUCUAAUAUUAGUCCCAUAUAGUAUACAUAAAGUUGUAGACUUAUUCCGCGUUCUCUAAAUUCAUCAUUUUUAAUCUUUAUGCUUUUUGAAUUUUAAAUUUUAAAUAUUAAUGCUAACUGCGAUUAUUAAAUCUAUUAAUUGGAUUUUUUUGGAUUCAUCAUUCCAACUUGCUAAUUUGAACAGUACAUCAAAGGAGGGCCUAUUGUUGGAUUUGUAGAUUUGAGCCCCUGAAAUGUUUGUGUGUAUGCAUGGCUAAGUAAAAUUUUUGAAAUUUCUUUUACGAAUUCUGAUAGCAGUAAUUAACUCGAUGAUGGGUGUCGAUUCCACCAAUAUAAUCCUACGCCUAAUGUAACACCCCUUACCCGAGACCAUUGUCGGAGUUGAGCACGAGGCAUUACUUAGCUUAUCUUACUAAUUCGGAGUAUAAAAACUUGUUUUGAAAAUUAAUUUCACUAUUUACUGCAAAUCUGUCCAAUCGUGUAACAGUUACUAAAUUAAUUAUAACUCGAGUUGCGGGACUCAAAAUUUAAUUCCGCAAAUUUUCCCUGAAACUAGACUCAUAUAUCUUCCUACUAUAAAAUUUUUAGAAUUUUUGCUUUAGUCAAUUAGUACAGUUUAUUAGUUAAAGACUCCCCCUGUUUCACCACUUGACUGUCCUGACCUCUUGCCACUAAAAAUAAAUUUUCUCAUUGUAGGAUUUUCAUAUGAAGUUAUUACUUGUUUCUAUAGAAAAUAGACUCAAUAAGUAAUCUAAGAAUGUAAAAUACAACUCAUAAAUAUUUUUUUACAAUUUUUAAUGAUUUCCUAAACUCAAAACAGGGGACACCAAAAACUGUUCUGACCAUGUGUCACGAAAAUUCAAAUAUCUUAAAAUAUAAAACUCCUUUUGUUAAACCGUUAUUUUUCCAUGAAAAUAGACACAACAAGCUUUAAUUCCAUAUAUCAUUCACCUUCUAACUCAUUAUAUACUAUCCUAGGUGAUUUUUAAAGUCACAUCACUGUAGCUGCUUGAAAUCUGUUUCUUUGCAAAAUUUUACUCUUUCAUGAUUUCCAUGCAUGAUUUAUCAUCUAAAUAUACAUAUUACCAAACAUUAUCACAUACUCACACAUCUUCCUUUAGCAAUAUCAUAGAUAAAAACAUUCAAAAUGACUAAUCCCUAUACAUCACUUAGGUAUAAACAUUACUUAGGUACAUGCCACGUUAUCAAAAGAAAGGUACAUCGCUAAAUUCUCUGAGGUUGGGACUACUCUGGAUGCUGGACCGAACACUGGAUUUCUACUAACUUGCGCACGGAAACAACCGUACACUGAGCAUGGGAAUACUCAGUGGUAUUACCAUAAUUCAAAUUUAUAACAUUAAUGGAUAAAUUAUAUACAUUUAAUUUAUGUCUACAAUUAUUCAUUAAUUAUCCCAUACUUUAAAUCAACUUGACCAUUAAUAACAAUAAGCAAUAUUUCAGUCUGGUAUUCAUACCUUAUUUCACUAUCUAAAUUUUAUUGGAUUUUUCACAUCUCAUUCCAAUAAUUUAUUUCAAUUCAUAUGAAAUUCAUUUUAUUUAUCACUAUAUUUAGUAUCAAUUCUAUUGCAAUUUUUACUCACUAAUAUCAUAUAACAAAAAUUUACUCUUAAUCAAAUCAUGAGCUUUGGGUUCAUAUCUUCAAAUCUCUUAUCUCGAUUUCCAAUUCACCUAUCAAUUCACAAUUUCACUUUCUCAUUUCUUUCCAUACCUCAAUCAAUCACACUUAUUCAAUUUUUUUUUCAUUCCAAUUAUUUACCCUAUUAACAAGACUCGGACUUUGGCGGAUACACGGAUCCAACCAAACACACCAGAAUGGCACCCAGUGCCUCAUCGGAUAGUUCGAAGCAAUAAAGUGACACCCAGUGUCUCAUCGGCAGAGCCGAAGAAAGUUGGUACCCAGUACCUCAUCGAAUCUAUCCGAAGUAACAGUAUGACACCCAGUGUCUCAUCGACUCAAGGUCAAAAUAUCCCUGAACACUUCCAAUCCUAUGGCAUGCCAACUAUAUCCGACUCAGCCCGACUAGUUAAUAGGGUAUUCAAAUCAUUUUUCUAUUUCAAAAUCACUUUCGAUUCAAUCACAAUUUAAUUCAGAUUCACUUCCCACUUUCUAAUCAAUAUACAAUUCAAUACCAAUACAUAUUUCAGAUAUUCACGUACAAUCAUACUUCAAUUCAAUUCAAACCACUUUUCUAUCUAUACUCAAUUCACAUAUUCACACAUAAUCAUAAUUUAAUUCACUUUUAUUCAAUUCAUAUUUUUAAUUCAUUUAAUUCAAUAUCGAUAUUCACCUUAUUUUUAUUUACUAAACAUAUUAUUCAAAAUUCAACAAUUACUAUCAAUAAAUUCAAUACCAAUACGUGUGUGUAUAUAUCUAUAUAUUUCAUUCAAUUCAAUCAUGAUACUCACCUUAAAUUUGCUUAUAAUGUAUAUUAAUUUAAAUUUCAACAAUGAAUAAUUAAAUUCGAAUUAUGGUAAUACUAACCGAAAUUUUCUCGAAUCACUCCUUGUCCACCUUCUCCUUUCCUUUCUCGUACAAUGACUCUUGCACGACAUUAGCUACGUAAUUAAACAAUUAAAAAUCAUUAAUACACAAUUUCAUCAAAAUAUUUCCAUUUAUACCUAAACUCUAAUUUAAUCCCUUAUCAAUACUAAUUUUAUUUUUCCUAAUCUAACUCCAUAUUCUCUCUUAAUUCUCACUAUAAACUCAUUUUAACUCUUCAAUUUCACCAUAAAUCCCUAAUUUCGAAAUUCUCUCAAUUUAGUCCCUACUAUUCAAAACUUACACUUUAUUUUACAAUUAAAUCAUUUACUAACUUCUAACUUGAAAUUAAAUCAAUUUAACCCCUAACACUUCAAUUUAUUCAACAUGAACAUCAUCUAAUAAUCUACUAACUUUCAAAAUAUCAACAUAAAUCAAGUAGUAUUUAUCUCUAGGAUUCCAAAAACAUCAAAACUAAGAGAAAAGGGAUUAAAUUGACUUACCAAAUGAGCUUAGAACCUCAAAACCUCAAUUUUCUCUUUUCUUUCUUUCUUUUCUUUCUUUCCUUCUUUCCUUCUCUGUUUCGUCCAUGCUAUUCUGUUUCUAUUCUCUUUUCUAUCUUUUAUUUCAUUAGUUUAAUAUAAUAACAAUAAAAUAAUAAUAUAAAAUUAUUUACUUAAAUAAUAAGUAAAUGUGUAAUAAUUACUAAUAUAUGUAUUUUAUUUUUCCACAUGUCAUCAUAUACACCAUACAUUUGUCAACAAUUUUGUUUAUUUAAAAUAUAAUAAUAUAAUAAUAUAAUAAUAUAAUAUAAUUUACAAUAUAAUAAAAUAAUAAUAUACUUCAAAAAAAAUCUCAGAUUUUAUCAUGCAUAUGCCGCCUCAUUUAUGGGACUUGGCAUAUUUACCUAUUUAGUCAUUUUAACUUUUCUUUAAUCUAUAAUUCAACUUUUACCUUUGUUGCAAUUUAGUCCUUUUUAAUCAAUUAACCAUCGGAACAUUAAAAUUUCUUAACGAAACUUUAAUACUACCCUAAUGACACUCCGUAAAUAUUUAUAAAAAUAUUUACGGCUCAGUUUAUAAUAUCGAGGUCUCGAUACCUCGUUUUCGACCCAAUUUUCCUAAUAAUUUCUUUUAAAUCACAAAAUUCGCUAAUUCAAAAAUAUUUCUAAAAUCACGCUGAACUUAUAAUUAUUAAUUAAUAAAUUUUUCUAACGUUUUCAUCAGAUUUAGUGAUCUCAAAUCACUAUUCUGACACUACUGAAAAUUGGGCUGUUACACCUAAUUUGUAAACUUGAGCAGUAUAAGGAGUAGGGUCGAUCCCUCAGAGACUGGGUUCACGUAAAAUUGUUGCUCUUUCUCGACCAGAUUCGUGUCUGGGCAGUUGUCGUGCCCAAGAAAUUUGGGGGGAGGAUAAAAAUUGAAACUUGAAAUAAACAGAAAAAAAUACGUAAAAAGUAAAAGCUGAAAACAAAUAAUAAAAACAGUUAAAUAAAUCUGAAGAAAGAUUAAUUAAACUUAGCUCAGCUUCAGGCACGGGUUUUUCCUCGUCUUUGAAUCGAUCCUCGAAAUUAGAUGAACUCCUCUUUUCCAAUAAGCUAGUUAUAGAUACCAAGGACGCCUCGGACACCAACUCUUCCUUGUGUAAAUUAGUUAUGAAACGUCCUAUAACUAAACCUUACCGAUCGAACAACCAACGAAACGUUCGUGGUUUAGAACUCCGGCAGCUUUGCGUUCUAGAAGAGCCUAGCUCGAACCAAUAUCCUCAACCGCUUGAGACAUUUAAAUCCGGUUACUACUUCCCUUGACAGAGCCAAACAGCAAUCCCCACUUGGCACGCCAAUGUUUUCACGAAAAACCGAUUAGACAAUCAAUCCUUUCGGAAUCCCAACUGUAUGUCUAACCACACUAACUCAAACGACAUCUUUUUUUGACUUAGUGUCGAUUUGACUUUGUGAGUUGAUGAAGUCAUACUCUUAAUCCGAAGAAGUAAUAAAAAUUGAAAAUUAGGAAUUGAAUUGCUCGGGUUCGUAACUCAUGGAUCUUGAAGAAGCUAACAUCGACCUGAAGCUGAAAUGGGUUUAGUUAACUAAGGUUUGGGGCAUAUUGGAGUUGGUCAUAUCUUGAAUAGGUUGGAUGGAAAAAAAUGUUGAUGUUGUCACCAUUUUUUGGAUGAAAAACGGGGUCAAUUUGGAUUUUGGAAAUAAAAACAAAAAUAGGGAGUCGCCACCAAUCCUUUUUUAUGAGGUGUGAUUAGAUCACCUUGAAAAGUGGUUGUUUUUAAUAAACGGUUUGAUUUUAUUAAAACAAUAGGUUUGGUCCACGAAAUUCAGAAAAACGGGUUCGGGAGUCGGUUACGCACGAGGAAGGAUUAGCACCCUCGAUACGCCCAAAAUUGGUACCUUAGUUGAUUACUUAAUGUCUUAAUGUCGAAAAGCUGAAAACUUUAAAGAAAUUUAAAAAAAAUACGAUCCUUGUAUUAAAAAGUUGAAAAUUUUGGAAAAAGUGGCAUAUUUCACGUUAAUCGAGAAAAGACAUCAUAUCCAGUAAGUUAGGAUACAACGUCUCGAAUUCUCGAUACUGGAGUGAAUGCUAAAAUGUUACCCCUUUUCAAAAAAGUUUUAUUAUCUCGGGUUUAGAAAAUAAAUCUUGCCCAGUAAGUUAGGGCACGAUCUUUUCUUAACUUCCGAGAUCAUUUUAAAAAAAACUUCGAAUUUGAAAAGAUUCGUGUAUUUAGAUUUAUUGAGAAAGUCGAAACCCAGUAAGUUAGGGCACUAUUUUCAAAUAUCUAAACACGAGAUUUAAUUUAUUUGAAAUGGAUUUUGAUAUAUUGGGCAAAAUGAAACACGAUGCUAAUAUGUAUUGCGAUAUAUAUAAAAAAAAUAUGUAUGUGAAUUAUAAAAUAUAGAAAAUAUGUAAGAAAAAUAUAGAUUUUAAAAUAUAAAUAAUAUGUAUAAGUAUGUGUAUAUAUAUAAAAACACGUACAUACACAUGUAUAUAUAUUAUAAAAGUAUAAAUAUGUACAUAUAUAAAAUAAAAAAUGGGUAUGUGCAUACAUAUAUAUUACAUAAAAUAAAUGAUAUAAGUAUGUAUAUUGUAAAAUAAAACAGUGUAAGUAUGUACAUAUAUAUGUAAAAAAGAGACAUAUAUACAUAUAUUUUAUAAAAAUGAAUGAUGGAUAUAGACGUAUAUGUAUGUAUGUAUAACAAAACAUAUGUAUGUAUAUAAGCUAAAAACGUGUCUAUAAAGAGAUAUAUAGAUAUAUAUAAUAAGAUAUAAAUAUAUAAUAAGAUGAUAUAUAUAACUAGUUAUAAUAAUAAUAAUAAUAAUAAUAAUAGGACAAAUAUAUUCAAAAUUUAAAUAAGUAAAUAUAAAUAAAAUAUAACAAUAACAAUGUAAAACUAAAUGGUAUAAUAAUGGUGACGUAAAUAUACAUAUAUAUAAUGGCAAAAUAUAAUAAUAAUAGCUAGAUUAGUUAAUAAAACAACAAAAAUAACGAAAUGGGUCAAUUUGUGAUAAAAAUAAAAUUUAAAGGGUAAGACUAUAAUAAAAUGCACAAAGGAGGACCAAAAUAGAAGGGCGCGAAAGGAAGAAGGACCAAAUGGGUAAUAAACCCGAUUUUCAGGCCACGCGUCCCUUCCUUAGGGGCCCAACUAAUUGAGGAUCAAAUUAAAAAAGGGAACAAAUCCGUGGUCCAAAUUAAAAUAGGAGAAAAAAAGACAAAUGGUCCAAAUUGAAACAGACUGAAAAUGCGGAAGGGCCUGAAGCGCAAAUAACCCCUUUGAUAGAAAACACGCGGAUCCUUGGCAAGCGGGUCGGAUGGAUCGGGUCUAAAGACUAAACGACGUCGUUUUAAGGCUAUGAUGCCAAGCCCUAAACGACGCCGUUUAAGAGGGGUAUAAAAUUCUAAUUUUUUUAGCAAAAAUUCAUUCUCUUCCACUCUUCAAAAAAAAAAAAACAAAAUACUCUCUCAACUCUCUAAGGCUCCGGCCUUUUGGGGUUCUCAGCCCCAGUCGCGCCGAUCAUCGCCUUGCCGCACCAGCGCCGCGCCGGCCACCGGGUGCGGUGGCCGGAAAAUUCAAAAGGUAUUUUUUUAUUUUUUUUAUUUUUUAUUUUUUUUUGCAAAUAAGCUGCUUUUUAAUAUAUAUGUAUAUAUGUGUGAAAGAUUAAAAUAAAUAAAUAUAGAGAAUAAAAGAUGCGAAAAAAAAUCACCUUUUCGAUUUUUGUUUAUAUUUCCGGGUAAAUAUUACAAAAUAGAUGAAAAGAAAAAAAAAGCCUCCCUCUUUGAUGUUCGAAUGGCUUUAUAUAGAGCCAUUUUACAAAAAAAAUUUUAUUGUUUGUUGCUGCUUGCGUGUGUUCUUCAUUUUGCAGGGCUGAUGGAGGACGAUGGGACGUGCGCGGCGCAAGUGGCAGAGCAGUUGGUGGCUACGGCGGUGCAGAGGAGUUGGUGAGAAGGUUUCUUUUUUUUUUUGGAUUUGGGCUCCGAAUUUGGGCCUCGGGUUUGGGUUGUAAUUGGGCUUGUGGGUUGGUGUUUGGGCUCUGUUAAUUGGGCUGUACAGUUGAAAUGGUAAAAAGUGGGUGGCUUAAUAUGUGGAAUAGUUUUUGGUUACACGGAAUGAGAAAAAAGUUUGGAAAAGAAAAUUGUAAGUAGUGUAGGUUGGGGACAAGCUAGAAAUUAAUAAAUUGAAAGUAAAGAAACCAAAGGCAACAAAUAAUUUUGAGAGAAUGAAGGAAAGAUUGCAUUCCAAAGAUGAAAGCUUGAUUGAAAACUUGAUUAAAAACUUGAUUAUUAAAUGAACAUAGUAGCCCCCUAUUUAUACUAGUGGCUUUGAACAAAUUUGCCAAAUUAAGGGCCACUAGCCAUAGAAAAUCAAGGAAACAAAAUAUUUUCAUGAUAUCAAAAUUCCUACAUAACCUCCCACUAAGUCAACAUAAAAUUUCAGCUAAUUACAUCUUGGAAAAAUUCUGCUUUGGCCCGCCUUCUUUGCUCCUUUCUUCAAUCUAGCCCCAAUUGUUUCCUUUUUUUUUCUAAUUAGCCUCAAAUUGCACCCCUAUAUAAAAUUCAAUAUAAACAUGAAAAAAUCAGUGAUGCAUUCUAAUAAAUUGACCAAUUAAAUUACAUAAAAUAUGUAUUUUUAACAUUUAAUCACUCGAAUUUAAAUUUAUAUAAUAAUACUAAAAUAAUUUGUGAGUAAUAAACGGAUUUAACUCUUUAAUCAUAUUUGCAUAUUUAAAUUCAAAUAAUUUUAAAAAUACAGAUAUUCGACCCAUUUCCGUUCUUAAUAAGAUUAAAGAUGCUAUCCAAAUUAAUAUUUAUAUAAUCUAUCAGGUCGAAUAGAUCAUCAGGCCGAUAUCUAUGUCAAAUAGCAACACAUGUUAGAAAAUUAUUAACUAAAUUCAAUAACUUAAUUAAAUUAUUAUCUAUACUAUUUAAGAAAUUUUUUAUUGAAUUGGUGUCACCUAUCAAUCGAGUCCUGAUUCAGUUAGAAAACUAUCAAAAAAAUCAUGUAUUUAAAAAGUAAAUUAUACAAUUACGUGAGUAUUUUUAGCUUUUUAUAUUUUUAUAUAUCAAUACUCUAUAAUGAGAUUUAAACCAAAUACAUCGUGCAUAUAAAACGUUUUCUUUACCGUUUAAACUAAAUUAAUUUUUAGUUUUUAUAUGAAACUUUAAUAAGUAUAUUUGUUAAUAAAUUUGUUCUAUAUUUAUUUUUUUUCAUUUUGGUUGAUGGAAAUAAAUUGAAAGCUUAAUUAAAUAAAUUUAAACAAAAUUCAUCAAAAUAAAUUUAAAAAUUUAUUUAUAAUUUAAACACGAAAAGUCAAACUAAACCAUCAAAAUCUUCCAACAUGCAUGAAGGUUGCGAUAAAGCAAUCCUAAUUGUACACAGACUCUUUAUCUAUUGUCAUUGAUGGACCCCAUAAGUCAGACCUUUAAAAUGACUUGUGAGAAAAUAAGCAACAAGACAAGUUAAUUUAUAACUUUCUAAAAUUAAAAUUAACUCAAAAUAAAUUAAUUUAUAAUUUAGUUGGGGUGGGUUGGAACUUUCCUUUUAUGGAAUAAACAUCAAAAUUAUAUUUGAAAAUAUAGUAUUAUAGAUGUCGGUUGAGUGUUAACUCGAUUGUCAUGAGUAUUGUUAUUAAUGUAGGAGAAUAUGAAUUUAAGUACGCUGAAACACAUUAUCUUUCUACGAAUUUACUUGCUCAUUUUACCAUGGCUGCAUCAAUUGAUGUUGGUAACAUCCAAUUCAAUUUGACUGAUUUCACCCAAAAUAUGCCUAGCAUAGGCAAUCCAACUCACCACCAACCAAAGAAACAAGGAAUUAAACGAUAGUGUUGGUCGAGCCACUUAUUACCAAACAAUGCACCUUUGGGACAAUUCAUCAGGGAAUCUCAAGAUUUCACCACUUGUCGAAACAAUUUUUUUAAAUUCAAAAAACGGGGAUCGACUUUGAAAAUAAAAUGGGAGUCGCCACCAAUCUUUUAUUGAGGUGUGAUCGGAUCACCUUAAAAAUAAUUUUUGGUCUACGAAUUUUGAGAAAAUAAGUUCGGAAGUCGGUUGCGCACGAGGAAGGGCUAGCACUCUCAUAACGCCCAAAAUUGGUACCGAAUUGGUUAUUUAAUGUCUUAGUGUCGAAACUUAACUUGAAAAGAUUUUUAAAUACGAUCCCAUGAAAUGAAAGCUUAAAUAAUUGAAUUGGUUAAAUGGACGGACCCAUUUCAAAGAAAUAGAUCACCACACUCAGUGAGUUAGAGUGCAACAGUUCAAUCUUCAAAGUUAGGUUCAUCCCUUUUUAAUAUUUUUUUUAAACAUGUUUUAAGAAGGAUAUUUGAUUAUUUAAGUCAAUCCAGAAAUCGGAAUCCAGUAAGUUAGGGUUCAAUUUCUCGAAAUUCUUAAACAUCAAAUAUUGCCUUUAUUUUAAAAUCGAGAUAACAAAAUGUCGUAUCCAGUAAGUUAGGAUCCAACAUUUUGAAAUUUAAAGAAUUUUAUUUUAAUAGUUGUAUGGUUUUAAUAAAAUGAACACUUGAUUAUCUUAAUUCAUCGAGAAGAAUUGAAGCCCAGUAAGUUAGGGCACAAUUCUCUCGAGAACCUAUGAACACCAAGCUUUUUUUAAGGAUUAUGAAAUAAAACGAUUAUGAUGCUUUAAUAAAAUUCAACUCUUACAAAUGGAUAAAAUAACAAUUUAAACUUAAACUAGAAGCAAUUAAACAAAUAAUAGGCAAAUACAAACAUUGACCUUAAUCAUAUCAUACAAACAUCCAUAUUAAUAAUUUAACAACCCAUAAAACGAAUAAAAUAAAUAAGGUUUAAGAAAUAAAACAUUUAUGUAUAAAAAUUAUGUAAAAAAGGUUAAUCCAAAGUUAAUGAUAUACUCUAUAUACAUAUAUAUACUAAAAAUAAUUUCAUAUAAAUUAUAUAUUUUUUAAAAGUAAUAUUGAUAAAAUUAAAACAUAUUGAUAAUAAUUUAAAAAAAUAAUGUAUUAUUUUUUUAAAAAAAUUUGUACUAAUAAUAAAUUUGAAAAUAAUAUCAUACUAAAUAUCAAAAUAAUGUUAGAAAAUGAAUUAAAAUAAGAAUUAAUUUGUUUAAAAAACAUUUUUUUUGAAGACAAAAUUAAAUAUAAUAAAACAAUUUUGAAAAGUAAUAACAAUAUUAUAAUAAAAAUAUUAAUAAAUUUAAGAUCGGAACUUAAAAUUAAACCAAAAGGAAAAGCCAAAAUUAAAUAAAUAUAGUAGAUUCAAAAUAUUAUUAUAUAAUAAAUUUAAAAUAUAAAAUACAAACUAAAAUAAUAAUCUAUCAUAUCUUAAAUUAUAAUAAUUGUAGAUUUAAAAAAACCAUCAAAAUCAAAUGUUACAAAUAACGUUAGAUUUUAUAAUAUACGAAAAUAGGAUUAAUUAUAAUUAAAAAAUGUUAUUGAUUUCUUUUUUUUUUAAACUAAACUCAUGUUAAAUUAAAAUUUAUUUCAAAAUUGGAGGACUGAAUCGGCAAUUAAACCCAAAAGCUCAGAAUAAUCAAAGUCAAGUGCAGUAAACGGUAUCGUUUCAAUUUGGAUCUAAAUGAAAACAGAACAAAAUAUGCAGUACGAAUUACAAACAAUUAAAAGAAAUCAAAUCGCAAUUCCAUUAAACAUAGAGGGACCCAUUGAACAAAUAGACCAAAUGAUCCAUAAUGCGCGGAUCCUUCCCGGAUCGGGUCACCAUUCGGAUCUGGUCACCAAAACGAUGUCGUUUCAAAGUCAUUGCAUUGGCUUUAAACGACGACGUUCAAACUACAUAAUUAAAGUUUAAAAAAAAACCUAAUAAUCUAUUAACUUUGAAAACCUGAAGAGAACUAAGGUUCUCUGCGCCGUUCUGGGCAUUGGGGGCAUGCAAGCAAUUGCUGACCCUAACCCAUACUUCGAUGAUGACGGAGAGAGCCAGGAUCCCACCGCCAGGUACGCCUUUUCCUUUAUUUUUAUUGUCUCUUCUCUUCUCUCUGAUUAAUGACACAAAAAUAAAUAAAAGAAAAAAGAAACAAGAAAUAACUGGUGAAAGGAAAAAGAAAUGAAACCCAGAAAAUCACCUUUCGGUAUUUCAAAAUUUCUUUGUAUUCUGAAUGCGUGUGUGUAACCCCUUACAAAUUUCAAUCGGUCCUCUUUAUAGCCAAACCAAGAAAAAAAAUAAAAUUUCUCUAUUUUUUUGCACUUUCUUCCUAUUUUCUACUAGUAUUUGCUGUCAAUCUAUUAUUGUUCCCCCUUUCUUUACUGUUGUUAUCUGUUUUGCUGCUUGUUUGUUUCUCCUUCUUGCAGGUACGGCGUACGGAGGGUAGACGUGGCGUGUGGAGGCACGAGUGAGGCUGAGGGAGAACCUUGUUGGCUGCGGCGUUGGAGGCUUACCAUUCAGCUUUUGAUUUUGCAUCGUUGGGCCACAUAGUAAUUGGGCCACUGUUUUACGAAUUGGGUCUAGGUUAGAUUUGGUUUCAAUUGUAUGGGUAUUGGGUUAAAAAUGAUUUGGGCCCAUGUAUUUGGACUUUAGACUUUUAAAUAUUGAUUUGGUUUAUUAUUAUUACGGGCCGAGAAAAUAUUGGGCCUUACACCACUCAUUUUUCUUUCUCCAUCGAUUCCUUCAAUAAGUCCUCCGGUGAUAAUGAUUGUUCUCAUUGGCUAUGAAGAUUACUAUUUUGGGUAAACUAUCAAAAUAGUCACUUUUGUUUGCCUUAGGUUACAUUUUAGUCACUUAUAUUUGAAAUGUUACGUUUUAGUCACUUACGUUAUCAUGUUGUAACAUUUUAGUCACUGAGUCAUUAAUUGUCAACAAUGGUGUAACGGUAAGUUGAUGUGGCACGUUAAAUCAUCAUUUCAAACCAAAAUUUUAGGUUAAAUUCUACAAUUGGUCCCUAUAUUUUUUCAUUUUCAACAAUUUAAAAAAUUUCUUUUAUGUUCUUCUAUUUUUUUUUCCAUUCUCUUAUGCUUCUCCCUCUAUUUUCCUCCCUUCUUCAUUUCUUUUAACAUAGUUUUUCUAUGCUUUCCAUUUGUAACUAGUCCACAAGCUCGCCUCACUCGAAAUAUUUAACUUGUUCAAAAAAAUAAAACAUAGAAAAACUACGUUGAAAGAAAUGGAGAAGGGAGGAAAACAAAGGGAGAAGCAUAAGAGAAUGGAAAAGAAAGAAAGUUAAAAAAACAUAAAAGAAAAAAAUUAAAUUGCUCCAAACGAAAAAAUAUGGGGAUCGAUUGUAUAAAUUAACCUAGAAUUUUUGUUUGAAAUGAUGAUUUAACAUGCCACAUCAGUUUACUGUUACACCGUUAACAGAAACUAACGGCUCAGUGACUAAAAUGUUACAACGUGAUAACAUAAGUGACUAAAACGUAACAUUUCAAACAUAAGUGACUAAAAUGUAACCUGAGCCAAACAAAAGUGAUUAUUUUGGUAGUUUACCCUACUAUUUUUAGAUUUAAAUUUUGUUCUUGUUAUGGUUUUCCAAGUGUAAAGUAAUGGUUAUUUUCGUUCUUAAUAAAAGUUGAAUUUUCUUAGCAAAAUGUACAAAUAUAUAAAAUCUUAUCAAAAAAAUCAUAUCGAACUUGUUGUGAGGAGACCCAUUGACUUGUAAUUAAUCUAAAGUCUUUGUAGUUUUAUAAACAUUUAUGACCACAAUAAGUGGAGCCCAUAGAGAAGAAGUCAAUUAUUUAUUGAGUAAAAGAUUAUAUGAAAUUGAGAUACUAUAUUAUUUGUAUCUAUUUUAAUAAUUUAAUGUCAUUUCAGCAUACAAAAUUUAUUGAAUAAAUAAUUGAAAAAAAACGUCAAUUAUGAUUAUGUCCGUGUUUUUGAUCUUUUAUAUUUAUAUUAAUACUCCAUAAUGAGAUUUAAAUCAAAGUAUCAUACUAUAAAAAAAUUUCUUUACCAUUUGAACUAAAGUAUUUUUUAAGUUUUAUAUGAAACUUUAAUAAGUAUAUUUGUUAAUAACCUUGUUCUAUAUUUAAUAUAUUUUUUUAUUUUUUAUUUCAUGUUUUAUUAUUAAUUAAUUUCAAAUCAUACAUUUCAUUAUUUAUUAUAUGUUAUUUUUAAACAUAAAUUUGUAUUUUAAAUUCAUAAUUUUCACACGUAUACAUAUAUAAUAAAAUCUGUAAUAUUUUAUUAAAAUUUUAAAAAUUGAUUUAAAAAUUAAAAUUUUGCAUCAACUAAUACUACCGAUAUAACCCAAUAUUAGUCUAAACAUAUUGAAGCACAUUAUGUCUGUUCUUUUUUAUAUAAUGUUUAAAACUAUCUAUAGUCCUUCCUCAACUCAUAAAUAAAAGUAAUAUGUUUCUACACACUCGAACCUACAUAUUCCUGCAUAUUACUAAUCAAGUUAAACUCGAUUAAAAAAAUGACAUUUAUUGCCUAAUUACGUAUACGGGUAAUCUUCCAAGUCUUCGCAGGUCUAUUGUCAUUGAUGGGCCCCCUAAAUCAGUCCAUUAAAAGCACUUGUAAGAAAAUAAAGUGGCCUAAAAUAUAAGUGAUGUAGUUGGGUACGUCGGCACCUUCCUUUAUUGAAUAAAUAUUAAAACUUUAUUUGAAAUUUAAUUUAAUAUAUAAUAAUAUAAAUUUUAAUUUUAUGAAAUUAUAUAUAAAUAUUUUAUUUGAUUUAAUAUUUACAAAUCACUUAUAAUAUUAUUGAUUAAGUAUCAUUUACGUUAUUAUAUUAUAUAUAAAAAAUAUAUAUUAAUUUAAUAUGAAAAUAAAUCUACCUAAUAUUUAUUUCUUUGUAAAUAUCAACCACAAAGUAGGGGAUUCAAUACGAUGCUUUGUAGGUCCAAUGUAUGGCAAGAAUGUCAGAACUUUAUUUAAGUUUAUUUCCAGACCUGAAAAGCAAUGAAUUAGCUUGUGUUUGCAGCAAGUUCCGUCAAAAUCCUUACUCCGAAAAUGAAGAAAGCUGAGAAUAUGUAUCUCAAAUCUCUUAAACCUGAAUUUCUCUUCGUAGUAUUAUUGUUAUACACCCUUCCUAUGGCUGCAUCAAUUGAUAAUGGUAACAUCCAUUUCACUUUGACUAAUUUCACCUCAGAUACGCCUAGCAUAGAGUUUGAAAAUGAUGCAACAGCAUCAGGUGGCGCAAUAGAACUAACCACCAACCAAAAUGGCAAGGCUUUAAUCUAUAGAGUUGGUCGAGCCACUUAUUACCAACCAAUGCACCUUUGGGACAAUUCAUCUGGGAAUCUCCGACUUGCAGAUUUCACCACUCAAUUUUCUUUCGCCAUCAAUUCCUUGAAUAAGUCCUUCGGAGAUCGGGCUGAGGAUGAUAGUAGGGCUGAUGGGUUUGCGUUUUUCCUUGCUCCCUAUGGUUCAAAAAUCCCUCCUAACUCCGGAGGUGCUUGCCUGGGACUUCAAACUUGCGAUUCAGACGCCAACUCUAAAUUUGUUGCCGUGGAGUUUGAUACGUUUCGCAACCUAUGGGAUCCUCCGACGAUGUCAGAUCACGUGGCCAUUGAUCUCAACUCUGUAAAGGCUUCACUCCACCCUGUCGAAUGGCUGUGGAAUGAUAUUGAAAAUGGGGGGAAAGUUGAUGCUUUCAUCACUUACAACUCCAGUACAAAAAACCUUAGCGUUCUUUUAUGUGAUGCUGAUGGCCUUACUCAUCAAAAUUCAUCUAGUCUUUCUGCAAUAUUGGAUCUUAGUCUAUAUUUACCAGAAUGGGUCACUUUUGGCUUCUCCGGAUCCACGGGACGAUUAUCUGAGCUACACACUAUUUAUUCCUGGGAUUUCAGCUCCAGCUUACAGGUUUCCAUGAAUCCAACCAGCAAUCCUCCAAAUGUGGCGCCAGGCCCUCCAAUCAACCCCAAAAGGAAGAGCAAGACAUGGCAGUGGGUAGUUCUAGCCAUUGCUGGUGGCAUUUUUGCAUUGCUCCUAGUUCUGGGUCUGGCUUCGCUUUUCUGCAAGAGGAGAAAGUACAGAAGGAUGAGGGAAAAUGGGACCAUGUCUGCCAACGUAGACAUGGAAAUGGUGACAGCACCUAGGAAGUUUUCCUACAGGGAACUCUGGCUGGCAACCAAUAAUUUUGCCGAUGAAGGUCUCCUUGGAGAGGGAGGUUUUGGAAAAGUUUAUUUAGGCUUCUUGAGGGACAUCAAUUCCAAUAUUGCUGUCAAAAGGAUAACUCCAAAUUCUCAACAAGGGGUGAAAGAGUACGAAUCCGAAAUUACCACUAUUAUCAGAUUGAGGCACAGGAAUUUG